GGAUUAGAUACCCUGGUAGUCCACGCCGUAAACGAUGGAUACUAGCUGUUCGGAAGUAAUUCUGAGUGGCUAAGCGAAAGUGAUAAGUAUCCCACCUGGGGAGUACGGGCGCAAGCCUGAAACUCAAAGGAAUUGACGGGGGCCCGCACAAGCGGUGGAGCAUGUGGUUUAAUUCGAUGAUACGCGAGGAACCUUACCAGGGCUUAAAUGUAGUUUGACCGCUUAGGAAACUAGGCUUUCGCAAGACAAAUUACAAGGUGCUGCAUGGUUGUCGUCAGCUCGUGCCG
rnacentral:rRNA from 1 species